rnacentral:lncRNA from 1 species
UUUUUGAUUCUCUUGUAGGGUUUAUGUUGGUUUAAGAGAUGGUGUGGGCAGAUUUGGGAAUCAUACCAUCAUCUCCAUCUUCACCUCCACGUAACACACCCACUCAUCUCCUUUAUCUUCUUUUCGGGUUUUAUCUGUUCUUUUGGAGAUUUUACAUGGAUUCCGUACUAGAAACUUCUGUCCAAACAAUUCCCACCAUCGAUUUCUGCCCUAAUUUCCCCUCUAAAGGUAUAGUUUUUCUUAUUUUUAUAACAUGCUUUUAGUUUCAAUACCUUUGGAUCCGACUUCAUAGUAACUAAAAUAUGAUUUUCUUUGUUGAAUUGAUUUAUGCUCAGAUCAUUUUCCUUGAGUUUUUAUCCAACUUCUGAUUUCAAGGUAAGGUUUCUCUUACUCUUUGUAGAAUGAUUUUAAUUUUACUCAGAUCUGUGUAGGUAUCUUUUGCUAAUUUGUUUUGGUUAUUCAUUUUGCAUCAGCUGGACUUGAACUUAUCAAAAAAUACAUUUCUUUUAUAGUAAAAGACUAAAAGAUGAAGAUACAUUAGCUUUUGUGUUCUUCUAUAUAAUGGCCUCUAUAAUUUGUUGUUUUAGUCAAUGUAUCCGUAUAGGAACAAAUUGGGAAUAUGGGAUAAACAAGGUCGGUGGCAAGUAGUAAAGUCUCAGGUAUUACUCUGAAUUGUUGUCAAAAUGGGCAUAUAUUAAUAUUGAUGUCAACUUUGGAAGCUGGACUCUUAUAAUAAUUUCUUCAGGCUUAUGUUUCACAAUCUUUUUUUUUUCACAUUAAUUUAUCUAACGAAAGUAAUGAAAUUCCAAAAGGGAAUAAUAAAAACCCCAAAGUUACAGGUUAGAUUAUUCAAGCGAGUAAAAUUACUCAAGCGAUAUUACAACAUGUAAGAUUAAUCACCAGAACCCUAGAAUGAACCCCAAAGUUAACACUUUCCUAUAUCCAACACGGCAGCACCUGUAUUUCUUGCUUCUCUUCUGCAAUUUUGUGUUAAUAUUUAAGAAAUGAUACGUAUUUUCUUUCUAUUUUGCUUUGACACCGUAAAAAUAUUCAACUUAUUUUAGUUUUAAUCUGUUUGAUAUAGCAUCACAGGUAUCUGUUAAUGAUGUUUCCUCAGCCUGCACACCAACACCACGUUGUUACCAAUACAAUAUGUUGACCACAGACUUCCCCUCCAAAAUUGUAAAAUUCAGAUGUAUUUGUUAGGGUUUUUUUAAUUAUAUAGUAGAGUUUAUCUAACUGCAACACGUCCAACGAUUUUCUAAAUAUAGAUAGGGUUUGUGGUAUGUUACCAAACUAAUUGAUUUGUGUUUCCAUUGAUGCAGUGUGAAAUUGGCUGAAGAAUAAUUAUAGCAGACGGAGGAGAAAGGGUCGAAUUGAAUCAAAUAAUAAACAAGUGAUUUAAUUAAACGUCGAAUUUUUAUUUUUAUGUAUCUAUAUAUGUGUGUCAUAGAGUGAAGAUUUUAGUAAGUUUUAUCACCUGUUGCAGUUUCCCAUAUGUGUUACAGCAUGCCAUUUGUCACUUUACACAGAACUUGUCCUAAUUUGUCGUUUAUUCAUCAACCGACUUCUUCUAUGACUGGUACGCUUCCAAUUUUUUUAGAAAAUUAACUUGCUACUGUUAUAAGACCAUAACUUCAAGCAUCAUCAUUAAUAUAUUAAGAAAACUUUUUUUUACCAUAAAUUUAUGAAAAAUAUAACAUAUUUAUGUUUUUUCCGUUUUGAUCAGAAGUUGUUGUUGGAGAUGAUCAGAUGUGAUCUAAUCAGAUCAACAGUUUCAUGUUGAAUUUGAUGUUAUCUAAAGCUGAAUCUGAUAAUAUUUGAAAGAUUAUGCUGAUAAACUAUAAGCUACUGUUCAAGCUUAUCAGAAGUUGCUGUCUUAGGUGAUUAGUUCUGAUUAAUCAGUGUCUAGAUACCAUAAUUUGUUGUAGCGAGUGUAAACUUACUCUAUAUAGGAUCUGAUCCUAUUCCUCUUUCCCUUCUUGGCCAGACUCUCACUUUUGCACAUGUUACCUUCAUCUAUUUCGGGUUUGUAGCAGGUAUGUUUCCUUUUUUCUUAUGUGCAUUUUUUAGGACCUAUACUUUUCAAAAAUAAGAAUUAAGAUAUUGGUUGGUUUGUUUAUUUUGUUCUUAUGGUAUGGGAAUCCUGAUUCUUGUGUUUAUCCAACACAGAUACCUUUUCAAUUUAGAUCCAUCAUCCAUGUUACAUUAUGUUUUACUAAAUAGUAUAUUUCCCACUUUUUUUAUUAAUAAAUUAUAAAUGCAUGAUGAUAAUUGUGCCCAUGAAAUCCAAUUAAUUAGGUUUUUUUACUCUUAUAAGGAAAUUACUUACCACUAUUAUAGUUUCAUUUUCCAGGUUCUAAAUAUAAGAAUUUCCAUUUAUUUGUUAAUGUUUAAUGAAGACUUUGAGGUUUCCCAGGUUUGACUUUCAUUUAUCUCACCAUGUUUAUCAUGUUUCAUGUCUUUGCAACUCUGAUGCAUGCCUUUUUACUUCUAUAAAGUUUUGAUGAAGAUGUUGUUUACUCUGUUUCUGGAUUGAUGACCGAAACAUUAUAAAUAUGUCGGAUGACAUGAUUUGUUGUUUUUUUUAUAGGGACAUUGUAAUGUUCAAAAUAGAGAUAAAUUGAUCUUAAAAAUCAUUUUUAUAACAUAUAUGGAGUUGCAGACUGGGGGAGAAUGGUUGUAAAAAAAUUAGUAAAAAAUAUUUAAAGCUGUUUAUGGGAGGAAGAAAUAUAGUGAUAGAUACUAUAGAUAAAUAUAGCAAACCAAGAUGACGGGGGAAAAGAGAAGAUUUGUAGAGGGUUUCAAGGGAGGAGACAGGAACCAAAAAUGUUUAUAAUGUUUCUUAUCACUAUCAAACCUUGCUAUACUAGGAUCAAAUUUAAAAAAUGUCUCAUAAGAACUUAUUAACGUUAUGAAAAUCUAUUUCAACAUUUCACAGAAAACCUUAAGUUGCUGGUAGAAUUUUUGGCUCUUAAUCAUACAGCUACUUACAUUACUAGAUUCAUAUACAUAAUCUAUCUCUAUAUCUUAAAAGUAACCAUAUGAUUGAGUUGAUGGAUUAUAUGUUGGUUUCUUGCAGGUGCUUGCUAUUGAUGGAGGAGUCGUGAUGUUUCAGAUACCCAAGAACUUGGUUAAAUAUAGACUACAUUGCAUGAAUCACAAU